rnacentral:misc_RNA from 1 species
UCGAUUUAAAGAUGUGCUGGCACUCCUUUACAGGUUUGCAUGUGCACUCUGCAAAAUCUCCUUCUCUUACCCCAUUGUGCACACCCCAGUAGGCAAACAGAUUUGCAGAGCAAUCUGUGUAAUCCCCAUUUUGCCUAUGUUUUUAUCAAACACCAAUAAUUUUCAGAAUGAUUAUGUAGUAAGCUUUUAACAAGCUGAAAUCUAAUA